rfam:Neotoma lepida isolate 417 scaffold_5831, whole genome shotgun sequence.
AAAAAGGCUCUUUUAAGAGCCGCCCAAAAUUUCAUAUAAUGGUGCU